ACGGAUCCAGGCUGCGCAGGAAGUUAAUUCACUGCACCGGAAGCUAAUAAUAGUUUCUUCACAUCACCUUGGGAUAUAUGGGAUGGCAGCACAGAUUACAGAGCAGACAGACAGCAUAUGAGACUUGAGAAGAGCUAGAGCUAAAGAGCAGUGAUGAGAGAAACACUCUACUGAGAUCGAGAGAAGCCACUAAGCCUCUGUUUGUGAAGACGAAGGAUUCAAGAUAUUUAGCAGUGCCAGCAUCAUGUAAUUGCACUGACUUUAGCAACAAAGUUGUAGCUAUGAAUGUAUGAUUUACGAGGGAAAUACAAUUUAAUAGCUUGAUCACUUUAGCGUAUUGUGUAUUCACACUCUUUAGUAUUAUAGUUCAUUCGAUUCAUAAUUAUAAUUAUGGUUGUUUGAUCACACGUAAAAAAAUAAUUAUGCAUCAAAUAGAAA